AGUGAACGCUGGCGGUAGGCCUAACACAUGCAAGCCGAACGGCAGCACAGUAAGAGCUUGCUCUUACGGGUGGCGAGUGGCGGACGGGUGAGGAAUACAUCGGAAUCUACUUUUUCGUGGGGGAUAACGUAGGGAAACUUACGCUAAUACCGCAUACGACCUACGGGUGAAAGCAGGGGAUCUUCGGACCUUGCGCGAUUGAAUGAGCCGAUGUCGGAUUAGCUAGUUGGCGGGGUAAAGGCCCACCAAGGCGACGAUCCGUAGCUGGUCUGAGAGGAUGAUCAGCCACACUGGAACUGAGACACGGUCCAGACUCCUACGGGAGGCAGCAGUGGGGAAUAUUGGACAAUGGGCGCAAGCCUGAUCCAGCCAUACCGCGUGGGUGAAGAAGGCCUUCGGGUUGUAAAGCCCUUUUGUUGGGAAAGAAGAGCAGCAGGUUAAUACCCCGCUGUUCUGACGGUACCCAAAGAAUAAGCACCGGCUAACUUCGUG
rnacentral:rRNA from 1 species